rnacentral:lncRNA from 1 species
ACGAAAAUUACUAUUAUUGUAGAAAACGCAAUAUUCAUUUUAAAAUAUAACUGAAAAGUAGAAGAGAUGUGUAUCAAAUAUUAUGUAAUGUUAAAAUUGUCAGUGUUAUUCUUGGUGCUUUUUACCUUUCUAUAAAAUGAAAAUAAUUGUUAUGUGCAUUGCCUAGGGUAACUUUUAAUGGCAUGCUUCUGUCAAUAACCCUUACUCAUUUGUCAACCAAAAGUGGUUCAUUUUAUUAUACUCUGUUGAAAACUAAUAACUGUUGUAGUAAAUAUUGUUCAGGUAAAAAAUCUGUUAAAUGUACAGUAAAGUAUUAUAAACAAAUAUUUAGGUUAACCUAUUCCUCCGAGCAAUUUUAUGCCAUUAACUUUUUAUACCCCAACUUACUGAAGCUGCAGUCAAAAGCAAUCAUUGGGUGUGGUCCAUCUGCUCUAUAUGUCUCUUAACUCCUUUU